rnacentral:tRNA from 1 species
GGGGGUGCCGUGAAGUUGGAGUUUCACACUGGUCUCCAAAACCAGUAUUAGUAGGUUCGAAUCCUAUCACCUCUGCCA